AGAAAUAUCAGUUAAUGGGUGUCAAUACAAUAGUAAGGGAAGGUUCUGGGUGUUGCCCUGAGUUUUUAGAAGAUCAAAGAAAGAUGUUUCAAAAACGGUUGCCCCAUACACAAGGGUCUGGGCCCCUCUUCUGGCUUCCGGCUGGGCUCCCACCAGAGCUGCAUAUGUUUGGCUCAGCGGCAGCAGCAGCAGAUGGCAAAAAGUGGGUGGGCUGGGGGGUAUCUGCAACUGAUCCCACAGCCGCCGGAUUAAUGAGGCCUCAUGCCCGCCUUCUUUUCUGCAGCAUGCCAGCCAACAGUAGCUUCCUUUGCUGGGGUGGGUUUGUUUGUGGGAAAUUUUUUGGCAGUGAAAGCCCAGCACCUGAUUGAAAACUUCCUCUCCCCCUCAUUUCUCCUUCUCUCCUGGCUUCUAUACUGGUUCUAAAGUACUCUGGGGCCUCAAGCUUGUCCCUGGGGUUCCUCCUGGUGUCAGGCUGAUGAAACUGAGACCAGGUAGUCCUGCUAUUACAUUUACUGUUGGGGAAACUGAGACUUGGAGAAUUUAAUUAUUCAUUCAGUAGCAGGAAGCUCAGGACUCUAUGUACAUUUCAUGCCCUCUCGUGUCUAGCUACAUCCCUGGGUUGGCAUAGACCCCAUGAGUAAGAAUGUGAAUGGUUCAUAUUGGAGGAUGAGGCAUAUAUAAGCCUAUUUGAUGGGCAUUGAGGUCAUGGGGACAGGGGCAUUGCAUGGGAA
rnacentral:lncRNA from 1 species